GGAAAAGCCACUAGUGGAGAUGGUUGGAGAUUACAGAGUAUCAGGCAAAAAAUCCUAAAAAAACACUCACGCCUCAAAGGCAACUUAUUUUGCCAAAAUAGGUAAAUCAAGAUAUAAAUGUAAGACACCUAUUAACUCUAUGGCUAGUGCUAAUCUAAAUGUAAGACACCUCAAUAAAUUCUCAACUUCUGGAUGGCUUGCCUUCUCUUUUUCAUAGGAUGUGCCGUGGCCUUCAACCUCCCAUGCUGGUCCUAUAGUUCUGACAUCAACCCCACCACC
rnacentral:lncRNA from 1 species